rnacentral:rRNA from 1 species
CGGGUGAGUAAUACAUCGGAACGUGCCCUGUAGUGGGGGAUAACUAGUCGAAAGAUUAGCUAAUACCGCAUACGACCUGAGGGUGAAAGUGGGGGACCGCAAGGCCUCAUGCUAUAGGAGCGGCCGAUGUCUGAUUAGCUAGUUGGUGGGGUAAAGGCCCACCAAGGCGACGAUCAGUAGCUGGUCUGAGAGGACGAUCAGCCACACUGGGACUGAGACACGGCCCAG